AAAAAAAAAAAAAAAAAACAGCAACAACUUCCCAAACAAAAUGAAAAAAGAACCCAAUAAAACUUGACUUCUGCUUUCAAUGAUCUUUUAUAGAAGGCACAGCCCUAAACUUGUAUCACUUUUACCACCUUGCCUUUUCUUUCCCUUUAGUCUUCAUUCUUUUCUAUGACUUGAAUUUUAUUUUCUGUGAUUAUAUAUUCUAUGUAAGUGUAAUUUGAGUAUUUAUAACUGUGAAGUUGAAUUAUUCUUGUGUUACAUAUCUUAGGUUUUAUUGUAUUUUUUUAAAAGUGUGUAUUCAGGGAAACAAGUAACUCAGAACUAUCAUGGGAGUGUGAGAGGGAAACUGGUUUGUUCUUGACUUGCAGUUCCUAUGACUCACUUUUCUUAAUCCGUAAGAAAGAAAUGUACCUGUUGUGAUUGUUUCCUGUUUCUGACCUGUAAUUAUAUAGGACUCUGUGGGGAAUUUGCAUACAGUUCUAGCUUUUGGGAGCAGCCAUCUUCUUCCCAGUCACCUCCACUUCUUUAUAUGUGUUGUAAUUAGAAGAGAUUUCUGAUAUAACACAGAGGUUAUUAUAAUUAAUUCUCUGACAUCAGAGAAACAUUGUCCAUUAUGUACCUAAUGCAAGAGUGAAAUCACAUGGCAUAAGAAAAAAGGAAGAAACGGCUACCUAAGAAACACUGGUAUUCCUGCUCAAGUCACUGUAUGCCAUCUGGCCAUGAAAGGGUACUCGGCUAACAUCUUUUGUGAAGCCAUUCACAUAGUGCUCUAUUCCAGAUCUGCUCAACAGAAGCCACCUAGUUGAAAUUUCACUCUUCCAUAAGGCUUUGGAAAAUUAACUCUAAAGAUUUUCCUGAACUCAUUAAGAUUCAUACAAUUGUAUGUUCGUUUGUACAGAGUUUAUCUUUGGUUUCUACUGUGCAAGUGACACAAAUGUUUUUCUUCUUUUGUGUCACUGUGCAAGUGACACAAAAAUGUUUUUUUUUCUAACGCAGAAUCACACAGAAUUAACUAGGUUGAAAAUGACCUUUGAGGUCAUAGAGUCCAACCUAUAACUGAACACCACUUUGUCAACUAUUAGACCAUGGUACGUACGAAGUGCCACAUCCAGUCUUUUAAAUACCUCCAGGGAUGGUGACUCCACCACCUCCCUGGGCAGCCCAUUGCAAUGCCCAAUCACUCUUUCUGUGAAGAAUUUCUUUCUAAUGCCCAGCCUAAACUUCCCCUGGCACAGCUUAAGACUGGGUCUUCUUGUCCUGGCACUGGUUACCUGGGAGAAGAGAUCAAUCCCCACCUGGCUACACCCUCCUUUCAGGGAGUUGAGAGUGGUAGGGUUUCCCCUGCACCUGCUCUUCUCCAGGCUGCACAACCCCAGCUCCCUCAGCCUCCUAGGAUUUGUGUUCCAGACCCUUCACCAGCUUUGUUGCUCUUGUCUGGAUGCAUUUCAGCAUCUCAAUGUCCUUCCUAAAUUGGGGAGCCCAGAACAGGACACAGCACUCAGGGUGGGACCUAAUCUUCCUGAGUACAGGGGGAUGAUCUCAACCCUGGUCCUGCUGGCCACACAGGCCAGGAUACCAUUGGCCUUCUUGGCCAUGUAGGCACACCUCCCUACAGGAUAGACCUAUCUGUGGAAGCCUCUGUUCUAGAUAAAAGUUAUUUCAUCUUUUGUUUUAUUUUCUUGGCCUUUGUCUUGAUGUGUAAUAUUUUUCUGCUGUUUUAAGGAUGGAAAAGAUGGGUGUUUUCAAAUUAGUCCUGUCAGUCCAAAUUGAUCCUUACCAUAGAGCAGAAUUUUUUAGAUCUUUCUAGACUUUUAUGAAAACCCGUACAGAUGUUUGCUUUUACUCUGUCCCCUUGCAUUGUGAUAUUCUCUUGCCAUAAGAACAUUCCAUUUAAGCCCUACUGUUGUAGCUUCCAGGUAGGCUCCAAUCUAUUUUCUUCCUCAGAUUUCUUUGGACAUUGUAUCUAUGUGUACAUAUGUGAGGACUUCUCCCUGAAACAUUCAGUUGCAGAAAAGGGCUUGAAAACCCCAUUAAGCAGAUAAUGUCAUUAGUAAAAAUGGCUACUACAUGAUGUUUUAAAACCUUUUCUCAUUUCACUUCUCUGUGAAAUCUUUUAAAAUGUUCUGAUUAAAAAAACCAAAAACCUAGAACUGUGUAUGUGGCACCACUGAUGACACCUAGACUUUUGUGCUACUUGCAGUGGAUGAUACUAGUGCUGGAUUCUGGGGAUAUCUCUCAUGAUCCAGCAUGUGUGAAAUGGUUUCAGAGUUUGGGGAAGAUGAUGAUGAUGAUUAUUUCUUGAGGUAAUUCCAUGUAGGCUGAGUGGUCCUACAGCCACUUUGCAUGGGACAUCUGACAUGUUUCUGAGUGGGAAUGUCAGUUUUCCAGUCAAGUCAUCACUAGUCAUUCCUCAUCCCAUGGUUCCUUUGGGAACUGAAGAACUCUUUGAGAAGCCUGGAUGACUGGUGAGAUGAAGACAUGGCACAGGUCUAUGCCUUUGGCAAGAGGCUAUAAAGCUUUGUUUGGAUUUGGGCAAGGAGGGGAGAGAUGCCUUAUGAUUGAUUCAGCCUUCUCUGAUAAUGCACACAUCACCAUGCAACCUAGGAGUGUAAAUAAGAAAGACACUGCUUUAAAGACCUUUCUCAAUUACAGAACUCUCAAUUCACAAAAUGGAGCUGGAUAAAUUGCAUUUCUUACCAUUAACAAUAUUAUUCAACUUAUAUUGGAUUUGGGGUUGUACCACCACAGGUUUUAUGUACUUAAUUUUAUUAAGGAAUUUUAUACCUAUUAUAUAGGCAUGUAUUCUUUUCUUGUCUGGCUUGCUAUUUGAUAUUCUAAUGCAGUACAUUCAGUGGCGCUGGACUCUUUCAGAAAUUAUACUGGUAAUUCCUGGUGCCUUAGUAAAAAAGUGGGUACAUAACACCUUGGUGGAAGGUAAAGCAUGUGACUUGUUUCACCCCAGCAUGAUAUGCAUAUUUCUAAAAAGGUGAUUAAGAUGGCUGCCCCAAAAGAUUUUGGGAGUGUACCUCUAUCACUUGGUCAUGAACAUUUGAAUAUGAGCAAUUUUUAUGACUUCUGGUAUGUACAGUUUGAAUAGAUAAGCCCAGUACACUUAGGCCACAACUUUGAAAGAUGGCAAUCAAAUAGCUGGAUAUGUAACUUCUUACACAGAUGCCCUUGAAAGCCUGACAAUAGCUGCUGGUUAGGAAAUGGAGAGGGGAGUAGAGCAUAAAUAAGAGGAUGGCUUUGGUUUUUAAUGGACAAUGAAAAUAUGUAUUGCCUCUACCAGCAAAAGGUUACCUUGCCAGGGAUAGGGAUAUAUGUACCUGCGUGUCUGUGAGUGUGUAUGUGUCUGCGUGUGUUAUUGGAAACAGCCUGUAAAUAUUGUAGCUGUUUAAAAUGGAAAAGGCAGAGAGUUUUUUGCAACAUGUUGCAGCAAAAGGACAGUAUUGACAGUGGAGAAACACUGAGAAAUAAAAGAACCUUUUUUCA